rnacentral:rRNA from 1 species
CGUGUGACUGCGUACCUUUUGUAUAAUGGGUCAGCGACUUAUAUUCUGUAGCAAGGUUAACCGAAUAGGGGAGCCGAAGGGAAACCGAGUCUUAACUGGGCGUUAAGUUGCAGGGUAUAGACCCGAAACCCGGUGAUCUAGCCAUGGGCAGGUUGAAGGUUGGGUAACACUAACUGGAGGACCGAACCGACUAAUGUUGAAAAAUUAGCGGAUGACUUGUGGCUGGGGGUGAAAGGCCAAUCAAACCGGGAGAUAGCUGGUUCUCCCCGAAAGCUAUUUAGGUAGCGCCUCGUGAAUUCAUCUCCGGGGGUAGAGCACUGUUUCGGCAAGGGGGUCAUCCCGACUUACCAACCCGAUGCAAACUGCGAAUACCGGAGAAUGUUAUCACGGGAGACACACGGCGGGUGCUAACGUCCGUCGUGAAGAGGGAAACAACCCAGACCGCCAGCUAAGGUCCCAAAGUCAUGGUUAAGUGGGAAACGAUGUGGGAAGGCCCAGACAGCCAGGAUGUUGGCUUAGAAGCAGCCAUCAUUUAAAGAAAGCGUAAUAGCUCACUGGUCGAGUCGGCCUGCGCGGAAGAUGUAACGGGGCUAAACCAUG